GGGGACGUUUUGGAUUCGACAGGAACAGGUCGUGCUUGCGUUGCGAGCCGUGGGGGUCGGCCACGUUAAAACGCCAAAGCCAAUUAACUGGCAAAGAAAACAACAACUUCGCAGUAGCAGCGUAACAGCUCUUUUGCGGUUCCACCCUCCAUCGCCCAUGUGGUAGGAUCUGGGACUCACUUAUAGUGGGCUACGCCUUUCCCCUGCAGUCUGAAGGGGCAGGAAGAGAAUAAUCGGGCUAGCCGUAUCAAAGCCUGUUACUGGGCCGAGAUGACGGCGAAAUGCUAAUACAGUAACUACGCUCGUAGAAGCGUAAGUGUCGUUGUUUCUGGACGUGGGUUCGAUUCCCACCGUCUCCAUUA
rnacentral:tmRNA from 1 species